GAUGAACGCUGGCGGCGUGCUUAACACAUGCAAGUCGAACGGACCUUCUGAUCUUUUGGUUGGUUGGUUAGUGGCGAACGGGUGAGUAACACGUGAGUAACCUGCCCUUCUCUUCGGGAUAACUGUCGGAAACGGUGGCUAAUACCGGAUAUUCAUAUGCUGUCGCAUGGUGGUGUGUGGAAAGAUUUUUUGGUGGGGGAUGGACUCGCGGCCUAUCAGCUUGUUGGUGAGGUAGUGGCUUACCAAGGCUUUGACGGGUAGCCGGCCUGAGAGGGCGACCGGCCACACUGGGACUGAGAUACGGCCCAGACUCCUACGGGAGGCAGCAGUGGGGAAUAUUGCACAAUGGGCGGAAGCCUGAUGCAGCGACGCCGUGUGCGGGAUGACGGCCUUCGGGUUGUAAACCGCUUUCAACUGUGACGAAUUUGACGGUAGCAGUAGAAGAAGCACCGGCUAACUACGUGCCAGCCGCCGCGGUAAUAC
rnacentral:rRNA from 1 species